GGGGGUUUCUGAUCUGCCUUCUUUAUGGAGGGGGCUGAAUACAAACUUUGGGACAGAAUUAAGCAAAGUGUUUUUGCAGGUCUACUUACCAGUGCCCCAGUAGCUAGCAGGAAGCGGGCUUUGGUUUCUUAGUUUGGUACUAUAGAAAGACAUUUUUCUGCAUGUUUUGGAUUUGACAGUUGUCCCAGAAUAUUUCCUGUAUCCUCUCUGCUUGCUGUCAUUGGAUCUGAAAAGCCAAUCUUGAGAACCUCAUUCUUAAUUCUGGAAUUCAGAGGGAGGCUGAACAGAGUCAUGAAGCUGACUCCAUGCGGAGUCCCUGAAAGAUAAUUCUUGGAACUGCUGGAGACUUACAUUUUUAUGAUUAACAGACUAAAACAAUUACUCUGUUGGAAAAAUUGCUGUGAUAUAAGCUGCAUCUUCACUGUUAUGUGACUGUUACUAUAGGAAGCAAUAGUAACCUGAAGAACUUGAUGACUGACUUCAGAAGAGUCUAGUGACAAUUUAAAUACGGUUUUCAUCUCUUCUUGACUGUGAAGGAUUGCACUGUUUAAAAUUCCACAGGAAAGCAAUAUAUAAACUAAAUUGGUCUCAAUUCUUUGAGACCUUCUUCCUCAUUUAGUGAAACUGAAUGAAAGCAAACAACUUCUUUUUCAGAUAAAGAUUUGGCAAAGCUUUCACACUGGAUGAAGCUACUUAUAUGGUGUUAUAUUUAUUGACAAUGCUAACACAUAUUAUAAAGAAAAAAUAUUAAAUUGUUACUGUUUCUUGUGUGUUUUCUUU